rnacentral:rRNA from 1 species
CUACGGGAGGCUCCAGUGGGGAAUAUUGCACAAUGGAGGAAACUCUGAUGCAGCAACGCCGCGUGGAGGAUGACACUUUUCGGAGCGUAAACUCCUUUUAUAUAGGAAGAAGAUGACGGUACUAUAUGAAUAAGCGCCGGCUAACUCCGUGCCAGCAGCCGCGGUAAUACGGAGGGCGCAAGCGUUACUCGGAAUCACUGGGCGUAAAGAGCGUGUAGGCGGAUUAAAAAGUCAGAAGUGAAAUCCUAUAGCUUAACUAUAGAACUGCUUCUGAAACUCUUAAUCUAGAAUAUGGGAGAGGUAGAUGGAAUUUCUGGUGUAGGGGUAAAAGCCGUAGAGAUCAGAGGGAAUACCGAUUGCGAAGGCGAUCUACUAGAACAUUAUUGACGCUGAGACGCGAAAGCGUGGGGAGCAAACAGGAUUAGAUACCCCCGUAGUC